rnacentral:rRNA from 1 species
UACGGAGGGUGCAAGCGUUGCUCGGAAUUACUGGGCGUAAAGCGUGCGCAGGCGGUUCUCCAAGUCCGUUGUGAAAGCCCCGGGCUCAACCUGGGAAUGGCAGUGGAAACUAGGGGACUGGAAUCUGGCAGAGGGGGGUGGAAUGCCGCGUGUAGCAGUGAAAUGCGUAGAGAUGCGGCGGAACACCGAUGGCGAAGGCAGCCCCCUGGGCUGAGAUUGACGCUCAGGCACGAAAGCGUGGGGAGCAAACAGG